CCUUAAUGGGUGUCCCUGAGUUGGGGCGGAUCUGGGGACCACGACUACCUGGGCCUGAUCUAGCUAGGGUCCAUUGGCGGAGAGACAGAAGGCUUUGCCUUACUCGCGAUCGCUACCUUGUCCCACAAGGGCCUGUGGAGUGUUAACUCCAGCUACUCACCCUACCCUUUGUCAGCCGCCUAGGGUACCGGAGUAAGGGACAUCCGUGGACAUUUUAAAGACGUUGAGGACGGGGAAGGAUACUUUGUGACAAAGAAGGGGGAAGAUAUAAGAAAUUCACAUUUCACAAUGCAGUUAACAAAGUUUUGCUGGAGUGCCUCUGUUACAGAUAUACGCUUUUUAUUAAUUGAUGGGGGGUGGGGGACAGGGACACGUGCACCUCAGUGUGCCUAUGAGGUCAGAGCCCAGCUUGUGAAGUCAAUUCUCUCCUUCCACCAUGGGUUCCAGGAAUUGAGCUUAGAUGUCCGUACUGGCUGAAUCCUCUCCAGCAGUCUGUUAUGAAUUAGUAAAAGAUAUAGCCUUUCUUCUCAGCCGCAUUUGGUGGCUCCCACCUUUAAUCCCGGCACUAGAGAGGCAGAGGCAGAGGCAGGUGGAUCUCUGGGAGUUCAAGUCCAGCCGGCUGGUCUAUAUAGUGAGUUGCAGGCCAGCCAGGGCUACCUAGUGCUGAGGCCCUGUCUCAAAAAAAGAUCGCGUUAUAGUUUGGAUAGAAGCAGACUGAGAUGAAUUCCCCCCAGGGGGCUUUAUUAGGAGAGUGGCAUCCAUCAGGAGAGCACAUGGACAGUUGGAGAGGCUGCUACCUCACAAUUACCACCCACUUCUGAAUGGUGGCAGCUUUGGUUUUACCAUUGCUUUGGCACCAUUGGUUUUACAACAGGGGGCAGCUACUUGCCCCCUGUUGUAAAACCAAUGGUGGCAGCUAAAAUAUUUACUAUCUGGCUCACUCCAGGGAGCUAUGCGAACUCCUGAUUAAAUCAGUGUUCUCUAUACAAACUCUGCCCAGACCACACUUCACCCCAAUUCUCUUCUCUCUGACUUUUUUUUUUCCUGUCGUUCAGGGUGAAGUCUAACGUUAUCACAAGGAGGCGGCCCAUCUCUGACUGAGUGAUCAAAUAGCAUCCCUAAUGAACUGCCCACGGGCUGUGUUUUCAAUAAUGAGUAGCCUGGUAUGGCAUGUACCUGAAGUCCCAGCCCCUUGGGAGGCUGAGGCAGGAGGAUUGCUUAAACCAAAGGACUUUAAGGUAUUUCCACUGAAGCUUAGACGAUGAAAAUAAUCGGAAGUCAUCAGUCGGCAGAGCAACAGUGAAUGCAUCUUUGUCCCAUUUGAAAACCGCCCACAUUGUGGACACCACCUCUCUAUAGGAGAAAUAACCUCUUUUUAGGAUUCACUAAUAAAUUUGUAUUAAUCUUUA